rnacentral:rRNA from 1 species
GAUGAACGCUGGCGGCGUGCUUAACACAUGCAAGUCGAACGGUGAACACGGAGCUUGCUCUGUGGGAUCAGUGGCGAACGGGUGAGUAACACGUGAGCAACCUGCCCCUGACUCUGGGAUAAGCGCUGGAAACGGCGUCUAAUACUGGAUAUGUGACGUGACCGCAUGGUCUGCGUUUGGAAAGAUUUUUCGGUUGGGGAUGGGCUCGCGGCCUAUCAGCUUGUUGGUGAGGUAAUGGCUCACCAAGGCGUCGACGGGUAGCCGGCCUGAGCGGGUGACCGGCCACACUGGGACUGAGACACGGCCCAGACUCCUACGGGAGGCAGCAGUGGGGAAUAUUGCACAAUGGGCGCAAGCCUGAUGCAGCAACGCCGCGUGAGGGAUGACGGCCUUCGGGUUGUAAACCUCUUUUAGCAGGGAAGAAGCGAAAGUGACGGUACCUGCAGAAAAAGCGCCGGCUAACUACGUG